CCUGGGCUCAUGUGAUCCUCCUGUUUCAGCCUCCCAAAGUGAUAGGAUUGGAGACAUGAGCCACUGAGCCUGGCCAGUUUUUGCUGUUUAUAAUGGUCCCCAAGCAUAGCACUGAAGCGCUGUCUAGUGUUCAGUGUUAAUGAAUUAACAAGAUUGAAAAAUUUCAGCAGCCUACAAUUUUCCUGACAAAAAUUGAAAGCAGGCAGCG